AUCGUGCCACCGCACUCCAGCCUGGAUGACAGAGUGAGUCUGUCUCAAAAACAAGAAACACACUGUAGAAAGACGGGCCCUCCCCUGCAUGCACUCAACUCACUCCCCUGUAAGGCCCCAAGCCAGGCCAUGGGCCAGCGGUCCACGGGACGUCCAUACUCCAGGCUCUAACCAUGCCCCUGACUCUAACCACACUUGCUCCUUUUCACUUUUAGAAGCACAUGGCCACCCCGUCUCACUGAGGGCCAUCAGUCACCCCCAAGGCACUGCAGACCUAAAGUGUGGAGAACUUGAGGGAAAUGAAAUGUUUUUCAUACUUUUGCAGUUCAGGUUCUUGGUUGUCCUUUACUCCUUCCCCGGGAAAUUUUAUCGACAGCUGGACCCGUCGGACUGAAGAGACCCUGAGGCCUGUGGUGGUCCCCAAGCUGCUGGCGCUCCUGGGCCGUGUGCGGGCAGCAACUCCCCUCACAGUCUUCAUGGGACAGUGUGGAUUUCACCUCAUACGUGCGACAGACGCUCUGCAGGAGACAGCGGAAGGACCUUCUCCCUCCUCUAGGUCACGCUUAGUUUCUCUGACUCUUCGGAAGUUUGAUCUGACUGUUCUUGCCUUUGGUCUUGGAAACUUGACAUCAAGGUGCCCAUUAGAUUUUCGGUCGUCGCCUUCCAUAGCUGCAGGUGCUGUGACUGUUUCUGCCUUCAGCCGGCCGACGGCACCGGGCGCAGCAAGCUUCAGGACAUCAUGAUGCCGCCCACCUGCAGUGCCUUUAACCUCGCCCGGGCCAGGGUCUGCCUCCAGCCCAGGACCAAGACCCCGAUGCCAGAUAAGGCGGAGGGAGGAGGGCAGAGAGUAGAGGGAGGAGGGAGGAAAGAGGGUGGAGGGAGGAGGGCAGAAGAAGAGGGCAGAGGGAAGAGGGUAAAAGGAAGAGGGUGGAGGGAGGAAAGAAGAGGUGGAGGGAGGAAACAGGGUGGAGGGAGGAGGGAGAAUGUUGGAGGGCAGAGGGAGGAGGUUGGAGGGCGGAGGGAGGAGGUUGGAGGGCAGAGGGAGGAGGUUGGA
rnacentral:lncRNA from 1 species